GUCUCGAAGUCAUAAGAGCUACAUAUUUUGCUGUUAUAAGCAUUUAAAAUGUGAAAUGAAACGUUAAUAUAUCUAGUUUUCUCAGAAAAUUUAAUUUUUUUAUAUUUAGGGGGAUAAGCUCUUAAUAGGGCUAGUAUUUUUUUAAUAGUUGAUAUAUGAGAGUGGUUAUUAUAAUAGAUUUAGUAAUAAUGAUAAAAUUAGUAUAAGGUUAGUAGAAGGAAUUCGGCAAAUAUUUUUUACCUGUUUAUUAAAAACAUGGCCUUUUGAUUAUAAUUUAAGGUCUUGCCUGCCCGCUGAGGCCGCGGUAACUUGACUGUGCGAAGGUAGCAUAAUAAUUAGUUUUUUAAUUGAAAGCUGGAAUGAAUGGUUGGAUAAGAAAAUUACUGUCUCCUAUUAAUAGAAAUUUAUUUUUGAGUAAGAAAGCUUAAAUUUAAUUAAAAGACGAGAAGACCCUAUAGAGUUUUAUUUUGGUUGGGGCGAUUAAAAAAUUAGGUGAACUUUUGAUUGUAAGAUAAAAUUACCUUAGGGAUAACAGCGUAAUUUUUUCUAGAGUUCUGAUCGAAGGAAAAGUUUGCGACCUCGAUGUUGGAUUAAAGUUAAUUUUGGUGAAGAAGCU
rnacentral:rRNA from 1 species